AUAUCCAUGAAUCAGUUUAAUUGAACCUUUCUUCUGACCUGAAAAUAGAUCAAACAAAUUCUGAUCUUAUUUACUCAUAUACAGUGAGUUGUAUUUACCAUUAAAAUGGAUCCCAGAGUUACUUUGGGAAACUUAAUUUCAAAAGGGCCAUGGAAAAUUUAGUCCACAGAUAAGGAAUGGAAAGAAAGCAAUAUUUAAUCUGGGAAGGAAGCAAGGUCUUCCAUAAAUCGCAGAAGCUGAUAUCAAGAGAUGUUUAAAGAUCAAAGCUAUUUCUCCAGAGAGUGAAUACAGCCCAUAGAGAAACUGUGGAGUCCCAGAAGAGAAGAAAUAAAAUUGCCAACAGAAGAGAAGAAAAUAUUGGUAAACUUAGUGAUUACCGAGUUACACAGGACUCAAUAACUCAAAAGGCUCCCCACUCUGAUCCCCCAAACUGCAUGAGAAAAAGUUGUUUUUACAUGGAGAAAGGAGAGCUGGAUAUUGUGCUUUAAUUUAGACUUUCAUCUUUUGGUUCAGGUGGAUUUUGUAAUCUUACGUGACAACUAAAUCAAGGUUUCAAGAGAAAUGGAAGAACUAUUUCCCAAGUUAAUAAGGUUAAUUGGCACUAAAAGAAAUGAUCAUCAAGCUUGGAAUGUCAUAACAGGGAUGUCCUCAGACUGUGAAGAACCUGUCCAAGGGAAGGAGCUAGGUAAGUGACAAAGGAGAAAUACAUUUCCUAUCCUCAGCCAUUUGUGCCUUUCCUAAGCAAAAAAGAGAGACAAGAAAGUAGUUCUCAUAAUUCAGAAGCUUUGUGCAGUAUGAACCACUAGAGCAUUAAAAACCACAGUGAAGAUCCAUAGGGCAACUGGAGAUAAUUGAAGGAACUAAUUUACUCAGGCCAACCAAGGUAUCACUUAGUAACCAACAGUUUCCUCCUUCAUUUGUGAAAUGCACUGUUUUAAUAUACCAUGCUUUAGUUUUAAAAAUCUGGUGUUUGAUCAUUUCUGCUGCUAGGCUGAAGCUGAUGGGAAAAUUAUGUUUUUAUUUGUGAGCUAAAAUGAAUUAGUUUGAUCGUAAAGCGUCACGUGCUCUGGAGAUGUGGGAGAGCACAUGGACAUGGUUCAUUUAAUGCUGUUGCCUGAGCUCUAGUGCCAGUAAGACGGUAGUCUUUACCCUAGGGCUGAGUAGCCGUGGGAUCAGGAGCAAUGGGAUUUUCAGAUAUGGCUAAUCCUGUUUACUCUUGUUGUUACAAUACAAGAACACAGCAGUAAGAUUUGAUGGAUUCUAAUCCUUGAUAUAUUUGUCUUGAUAAUCAUUAUCCACCAGAGGGAGCUGCCCUAGAAAUAUUAAAAAUAGUUUUCUAUUGGGAAUUUUGUCUUCAGGACUGAAUUCUUCCUCACUUGAGCCUACGAGAAUAGGACUGGAAAGCCUGUGUUUUGGAAGCAUGCUCACUGACGUAAAAUAUCAAUCUUAAUGCAUGCAGUAUGCCUUUUUUAUAACCAUAUGUCAUGCUUUUAUCCUUUUUACAAACAACUUUCAAUCCUGUGGUUCAUGAGAAAAACUAAUGUGCACUGCUCUGUGCCAGUCUGAGGGGAUGAUUAUUAAGAAAUGAUAUUAAUGGAAAUGACCUCUGUCAGAUGGACUAAGCUCACUUCUGAAGCCUAUCUGGUCUUUACCAGUUCUAUAUUUCAGAUGCUCCCUUAGGUACAUCAGUGCA
rnacentral:lncRNA from 1 species